rnacentral:rRNA from 1 species
AGAGUUUGAUCCUGGCUCAGAACGAACGCUGGCGGCAUGGAUUAGGCAUGCAAGUCGAACGGGACUUUAAUUGUAGCAAUAUUAUUGAAGUUCAGUGGCGAAAGGGCGAGGAACGCGUGAGUAACCUACCCAUAAGUUGGGAAUAACUCUUCGAAAGGAGGGCUAAUACCGAAUGUGAUUAUUUGGCCGCAUGGUCGGAUAAUUAAAAAUUUAUUGCUUAUGGAGGGGCUCGCGUCCCAUUAGCUAGUUGGCGGAGUAAAAGCCCACCAAGGCUACGAUGGGUAGCUGGUCUGAGAGGAUGGUCAGCCACACUGGGACUGAGACACUGCCCAGACUCCUACGGGAGGCUGCAGUCGAGAAUCUUCCGCAAUGGGCGAAAGCCUGACGGAGCGAUGCCGCGUGAGGGAUGAAGGUCUUCGGAUUGUAAACCUCUGUCACCUGGGAGGAAAUAAAUGACUGUACCAGGAGAGGAAGCUACGGCUAACUACGUGCCAGCAGCCGCGGUAAUACGUAGGUAGCGAGCGUUGUUCGGAUUUAUUGGGCGUAAAGGGUCCGCAGGGGGCCGAUUAAGUCUGAUGUGAAAUACCAAGGCUCAACCUUGGAACUGCAUUGGAAACUGAUUGGCUAGAGCAUCGGAGAGGAGAAUGGAAUUCCAGGUGUAGCGGUGGAAUGCGUAGAUAUCUGGAAGAACACCGAAGGCGAAGGCAGUUCUCUGGACGAUUGCUGACCCUCAGGGACGAAAGCAUGGGGAGCAAACAGGAUUAGAUACCCUGGUAGUCCAUGCUGUAAACGUUGUGAACUUGACGUGGGAGGCUGAAAACCUCCUGUGUCGUAGCUAACGCGAUAAGUUCACCGCCUGGGGACUACGACCGCAAGGUUAAAACUCAAAGGAAUUGACGGGGGCCCGCACAAGCGGUGGAGCAUGUGGCUCAAUUCGAUGCAACGCGAAGAACCUUACCUGGAUUUGACAUAUACCUGCCGACUAUGGAAACAUAGUUUUCCCCGCAAGGGGACGAGUAUACAGGUGCUGCAUGGCUGUCGUCAGCUCGUGCCGUGAGGUGUUCGGUUAAGUCCGGCAACGAGCGCAACCCGUGUCAUUAGUUGCAAACAGGUAAUGCUGAGCACUCUAAUGAGACUGCCCGUGUUAAGCGGGAGGAAGGCGCGGAUGACGUCAAGUCCGUAUGGCCUUUAUAUCCAGGGCUGCACACGUGCUACAAUGGCUGGUCCAAUGGGAUGCAAUGUCGCGAGGCGGAGCAAAUCCUCAAAACCAGCCCCAGUUCAGAUUGCAGUCUGCAACUCGACUGCAUGAAGUUGGAAUCGCUAGUAAAGGCGUAUCAGCCACGACGCCUUGAAUACGUUCCCGGGCCUUGUACACACCGCCCGUCACAUCAUGGAAGCUUAUUGCACCCGAAGUAGCUGAACCUUACCCGCAAGGGGAGGAGGCUCCUAAGGUGUGGUCAGUGACUGG